UACGAAGGGGACUAGCGUUGUUCGGAAUUACUGGGCGUAAAGCGCGCGUAGGCGGAUCGCUAAGUCAGGGGUGAAAUCCCAGGGCUCAACCCUGGAACUGCCUUUGAUACUGACGAUCUGGAGAUCGGGAGAGGUGAGUGGAAUUCCGAGUGUAGAGGUGAAAUUCGUAGAUAAUUCGGAGGGAACACCAGAAGCGAAGGGCGGCUCACUGGCCCCGAUACUGACGCUGAGG
rnacentral:rRNA from 1 species